AGCAGCGGCAGCGAGCGCUGAUGCAAACGACAGCCGCCGUUGCCAGCGCCCGCUCGCUAACGGGGCCGGCGGCCCGGGGGGACCUGCGGCUGCCAAAGGCCACAAGCAUCUCUGUCUCUCUCUCUCAGCCACCCUCUCCUGCGCCCCAGAGAGGCUGGUACUGUAAGGCUGCUGUGCCACGGGAAGACGUGAAAUGAACUUUCCCCUUUUAAAGGCUUUGGUAACUUCUGAGGCCUCCGCUGUAUCCUUUUUUGAUGGUGUGACAGCCCAGUGAAGUGCAUCAGGUUCACCCCACUCCAGGCUCCGUGGGGAGGGCCUGAUGGGGUCUCAACCAGCGGCCACAGACUUCAGCUUCCAUCCGAAGCACCUGGAGGCCUUAUUCAAACAGGGAUGGCUGGGCCCCACCCCAGAGGUCCUGAUUCAGCAAAUCCGGGGUGGGGCCUGAAGAUCUGUAUUUAUAACAAGUGCCCAGAUGAUGCUAAUGCCAUUGGUGAGGGAACACACUUUGAGAAGCACCGUUCUAAACCCAUCAGCAUAACUUUCCUCCCUCAGCCUCUGUGACUGAUUCGAGGGCCUCAACCCAUCGGCCCGGGGCCUUGUCCUGGCCACAUGGAUGGGAUGCUCCAGCCCUAAGCCUAUGACUCAGGUCUGUCCGGUUACAAUGACGCUCAGGACUUCUGCUUCAUUAGAAAGGCACCCUCUUGGAAGCAAUGUGCUAUAUGGACCUUGGACCAGAACUCGUACAGUGAUUGUACCACAACAACAGAAGCCGAUUUGAAGACCAACGGAGUCCUAGAGAAGUGGACGUUGAGAGAUUCGGAGAGAUGGCACCCAAACUUGACCUUCAGCCCACCUGGAGGUCGGCUUCUCCCGCAAGUGCUGGUUCUGUAGGCCUUCUCACUUACCUGAGCCAAUAAAUUCUCCUUGUUGGGUA